CCAAGGAGUUUAUCGUGUGCGCAAGUCAUUGGGUGUUGAAAACCCAGAGGCGCAAUGAAAGUGAAGGUAUCCCUCGCGGAGCCGACGUGCGAGCACGGGCACUGCGGUGUCCGAGUGCAGCAUGGCCCCAUCCUGACUGCUUGCAGUGGGGUGGAGGAAGAGCGUACGCGGUGAGACCCGAAAGAUGGUGAACUAUUCCUGAGCAGGAUGAAGCCAGAGGAAACUCUGGUGGAAGUCCGAAGCGAUUCUGACGUGCAAAUCGAUCGUCUGACUUGGGUAUAGGGGCGAAAGACUAAUCGAAC
rnacentral:rRNA from 1 species